rnacentral:rRNA from 1 species
UUGGAGGGCAAGUCUGGUGCCAGCAGCCGCGGUAAUUCCAGCUCCAAUAGCGUAUAUUAAAGUUGUUGCAGUUAAAAAGCUCGUAGUUGAAUUUCGGGGUCAGUAGGUUGGUCGUGCCACUGGUACGUACUGGUCUCACUGAUUCCUCCUUCCUGAUGAACCGUAAUGCCAUUAAUUUGGUGUUGCGGGGAAACUGGACUGUUACUUUGAAAAAAUUAGAGUGUUUAAAGCAGGCUAACGCUUGAAUACAUUAGCAUGGAAUAAUGAAAUAGGACGUUCGAUCCUAUUUUGUUGGUUUCUAGGAUUGACGUAAUGAUUAAUAGGGAUAGUUGGGGGCAUUAGUAUUCAAUUGUCAGAGGUGAAAUUCUUGGAUUUAUUGAAGACUAACUACUGCGAAAGCAUUUGCCAAGGAUGUUUUCAUUAAUCAAGAACGAAAGUUAGGGGAUCGAAGACGAUCAGAUACCGUCGUAGUCUUAACCAUAAACUAUGCCGAUUAGGGAUCGGAUGAUGUUAUUUUUAAUGACUCAUUCGGCGCCUUACGGGAAAC